rnacentral:rRNA from 1 species
UACAGAGAGUGCAAGCGUUAAUCGGAAUUACUGGGCGUAAAGAGCACGUAGGCGGAUUUUUAAGUUGGAUGUGAAAGCCCUGGGCUUAACCUGGGAACUGCAUCCAAAACUGAAAGUCUAGAGUAUAGUAGAGGGAAGUGGAAUUUCUGGUGUAGCGGUGAAAUGCGUAGAUAUCAGAAAGAACAUCAGUGGCGAAGGCGGCUUCCUGGACUAAUACUGACGCUGAGGUGCGAAAGCGUGGGGAGCAAAC